CGAAAUGCGAUAAGUAAUGUGAAUUGCAGAAUUCAGUGAAUCAUCGAAUCUUUGAACGCACCUUGCGCUCCUUGGUAUUCCUUGGAGCAUGCCUGUUUGAGUAUCAUGAAAUCUUCAAAGUAAAUCUUUUGUUAACUCAAUUGGUUUCUACUUUGGUAUUGGAGGUCUCUGCAGCUUCACACCUGCUCCUCUUUGUUCAUUAGCUGGAUCUCAGUGUUAUGCUUGGUUCCACUCGGCGUGAUAAGUUAUCUAUCGCUGAGGACACUGUAAAAGGUGGCCAAGGUAAAUGCAGAUGAACCGCUUCUAAUAGUCCAUUGACUUGGACAAUACUUUUAUGAUCUGAUCUCAAAUCAGGUAGGACUACCCGCUGAACUUAAGC
rnacentral:misc_RNA from 1 species